UGAUGAAUUUUUAAAAUUGUUCAGUGGCAUUUGGUGAAAUAGCCGUUUUAUUUAUCAUUGGCCGUAUAAAAAAAAAUAACUUCAUUCGUCUUCUCUCUUUAAAACCUCCGCCUAUCCCCGAUCCCAAAUCAAAACCCUCAUCCUCUCUUCUUUAUGAAUGCGCCGUCACUUACUCCAACCCCAAAGUAAAACCCUCAUCCUUUUGAUUUUUUAUGCAACCUUCAACUUUAAUGUAUGAUAUAGAUCCAAUUCAUCAACCCACGUUGUUAUAGAAUUAAUUUCCAAGCAAUUAAGAUGAAAGAGAACAACAAUCAAGGCAAAUUAGAGUAAAAAAAGGAAGAAAUUGGUACUACAGGUGGAUAAAAGAUGAUACACAACGUAUUUCGGCUGCUUGAAGUCGAUGUAGAUCGUCAUGGUAUCCUACCCUUUGAAUUGCUCCUAAUUGAAGAUAUACUUCAAUUCUUCAACGUUAGAGAGAUAAUGAACCUCCUAUGAUAAUAGAUCUGGAAUUAUGAAUAACUGUUGUCUGAUUAAUGAUCUAACUUCAGAUCCAAAUUGAGGUUUACGUGACUGAAUUCUCAAACAAAGGAGAAAGAAACUGGAGUACUCAAGCCUUAUUGAAGUAAUUACAAUUGUAAUUAUAUCUCAGUAAAUUAAAAUAAUUAUUUUUUUUGCAAUUUUAUGUCGGAUGAUUAUUUGUAUCACAUGAAUUUUAAUUUAACCCAUUGUUAUUUUCAAUG